CCUACGGGAGGCAGCAGUGGGGAAUAUUGGACAAUGGGCGCAAGCCUGAUCCAGCAAUGCCGCGUGGGUGAAGACGGCCUGCGGGUUGUAAAGCCCUUUAGGCGGGGAAGAACGGCCGGGCGCGAAUAACGCGCGGCUCUGACGUUACCCGCAGAAUAAGCACCGGCUAACUACGUGCCAGCAGCCGCGGUAAU
rnacentral:rRNA from 1 species